rnacentral:rRNA from 1 species
GAUGAACGCUGGCGGCGUGCUUAACACAUGCAAGUCGAACGAUGAAGCCCAGCUUGCUGGGUGGAUUAGUGGCGAACGGGUGAGUAACACGUGAGUAACCUGCCCUUAACUCUGGGAUAAGCCUGGGAAACUGGGUCUAAUACCGGAUAGGAGCGUCCACCGCAUGGUGGGUGUUGGAAAGAUUUAUCGGUUUUGGAUGGACUCGCGGCCUAUCAGCUUGUUGGUGAGGUAAUGGCUCACCAAGGCGACGACGGGUAGCCGGCCUGAGAGGGUGACCGGCCACACUGGGACUGAGACACGGCCCAGACUCCUACGGGAGGCAGCAGUGGGGAAUAUUGCACAAUGGGCGCAGGCCUGAUGCAGCGACGCCGCGUGAGGGAUGACGGCCUUCGGGUUGUAAACCUCUUUCAGUAGGGAAGAAGCAAAAGUGACGGUACCUGCAGAAGAAGCACCGGCUAACUACGUG